rnacentral:tRNA from 1 species
UGGUGUAAUGGUUAGCACUCUGGACUCUGAAUCCAGCUAUCCGAGUUCAGAUCUCGG